GACGAACGCUGGCGGCGUGCUUAACACAUGCAAGUCGUACGGUAAGGCCCUUUCGGGGGUACACGAGUGGCGAACGGGUGAGUAACACGUGAGUAACCUGCCCACAACUUUGGGAUAACGCUAGGAAACUGGUGCUAAUACUGGAUAUGUGCUCCUGCUGCAUGGUGGGGGUUGGAAAGCUCCGGCGGUUGUGGAUGGACUCGCGGCCUAUCAGCUUGUUGGUGGGGUAGUGGCCUACCAAGGCGGCGACGGGUAGCCGGCCUGAGAGGGUGACCGGCCACAGUGGGACUGAGAUACGGCCCAGACUCCUACGGGAGGCAGCAGUGGGGAAUAUUGCACAAUGGGCGCAAGCCUGAUGCAGCAACGCCGCGGGCGGGAUGACGGCCUUCGGGUUGUAAACCGCGUUCAGCAGGGACGAAGCUUUUUGUGACGGUACGUGCAGAAGAAGCACCGGCUAACUACGUG
rnacentral:rRNA from 1 species